rnacentral:rRNA from 1 species
CAAUAGCGUAUAUUAAAGUUGUUGCAGUUAAAAAGCUCGUAGUUGGAUUUCUGUGAGAGUGCCGGUGUCGGCUGAUGCUUGUACGCAGGCGCUCUUACAUCCUUCUGUUAACUGUUCUUGGCAUUUUAUUGCUGGUUCAGGGCUCAGAUAUUUUACCUUGAGAAAAUUAGAGUGUUUCAGGCAGGCUUAUGCCGGAAUACAUUAGCAUGGAAUAAUGGAACAGGACCUGUGCGUCUCUCGGGGCGCCGGUCUCCGUUGUUGGUUUCGGGGACUAAUGUAAUGAUUAAUAGGGAUAGUUGGGGGCAUUAGUAUUUAAUAGUCAGAGGUGAAAUUCUCGGAUUUGUUAAAGACUAACUUAUGCGAAAGCAUUUGCCAAGGAUGUUUUCAUUGA